CACAUAUUCGAGAGAGGUGUUUUUUUAAGUUAAGGCAGAUCAAGGGGCAGAAUUUCUCACAAAGAGAGGAUGCACAACUGGCAGGAGAACGAAAUUAAAGAACUUUUGACCAUCCGGGGCUCGGAGGCAAUCCGGAACCAGAUCACGGGCACGGUGAAGGACUCGGUAGUUUACAACAGGAUGACAAAAUUGCUGGCGGAGAGGGGGGUGUACAGGUCACACAUGCAGGUGAUCAGCAAACUGAAGGCGCUCAGAAAACAGUACGCCAAGUAUCACCAGCAGAAGGCUCGCUGCGGGAGCCACCGCGUUGACUGGCCGUUUUAUGAACAGUGUCACAGGGUUUUUGGGAAUGCACCAGCGGGGAGUCCGGCUAAACGGCCGCGGAGUCCUUCUACCCCGCCUGCGCCCGCAUCCUCUCCGCCGCCCCCCGCUACCAGCAGCGCGGAGCAUCGGGAGGUUGUAGUCGGCCUCUGGGACGAAGUUAACGACAGGGACGUCAACAAGCACCUAGGUCCGGUGGACGCAGAGGACGAGGAGGACCAGUACAGUCCGGCAGAACACUUGCACUCCAUCAAUGCCAAGUACACCGUCCCAGCAAAGAAAAGGAAAACAACAGUGAUGCAACAGGUGUCGGCUCUGGUGUCAGCAACAGUCACACAGCUCAGAGAGAUGGAUGCUGCCAUGCAGGCGCAGGAGGACGCCCGUCUGCAGAGGCUCAUGGACCAUGAGAGGGAAAUGCAGAACAAUCUAAUGAGCGAGCUCAUAGCCAUGCAUGAAAGGAUCAGUCGAGAAAACCACGAGAGGCACCUGGAACUUGUGGACAGGAUACUGUCAAGGUUCCCCUCACCGUCGAAACCUUUAGGCCACUGACUUACUCAUGUGUAGGGAACACUUUGACUCUGUCCCCCACCAGCUGACUAGUGCCUAAGACCACCUUUUUUUAUUUUUCCUGUAUUUUUCGACAUAAGGAAAAUCAUUGUCACACUUGCCUUUAACCUCAGUCCGGUUGGUAUGUGACCCUGUGUGCGACAACACUGAACUGCUGAUGAGUCGUCCACAACAGCUUGGAGGAGUUUCAGGCCAUUCUUCAGUACAGAACAGCUUCAGUCUGAAGUGUUAUAAGGAGGACUGCUUCAGGUCAAGAUUUCAUUAGAUUAAGUUCAGGACUUUUUCACAAAACAUUAACGGUGUUCCUUUUUGACCUUUCCAGUGCUCAGGGUCAGUGUCUUGCUGCAUGACCCAGCUUGUCCUCAGCUCACAGUGUCUUGACACUUUUUAAUAUAGGUGGUAUAAUGUAUUCAUUCUUCUCUUGAAUGAUGCCAAGCUGUCCUGGUCCAGAUGUAGAAUAACAGGCCUAAACCAUGACACUGCCACUACCGUACUUCACAGUUUUUUGUAAGGUUCUUAUGCAGGUUUGCAGUUUUUUUUAAACCCAGCAGCUCUGCUUUGUCCACGUGAGCUUCAGCAAACUGUAGAUGGGCAGCAGUGUUCUUUUUGGACUGCUAUGCACACCAUGGCUGUUCAGUGUCCUCCUGAUGGUGGCUUCGUCAACAUUAACAGUAGCCAGUGUUUUACCAUUGUUUCAUAAGGGGCAAAGAUGAUUGGUAGUUUGCCCAUUAUGAAGCUGUUCAAAUUAAGCCUGUGAUGAUAACAGCUACAGUCAUGUUGAAAAGUUUGUACCCCCACAUUUAAUUCUAUGUUUUGUGUGUAAAAACAUAAUGAAGUCAUACAGAAAAACCUUGACUUCAAGGUUUUGCUGCUAAUGGUCUUAUUGUGACAACAGGGUGUCAGAGAUCUUCAGGAGUGUGGCACUGACUAGUAAAGGACAACAUGGAUGGAUGAAAACGUUCUUUAUUUUGCCAUGGAAACCACAGUAAGCUAUACACACUGAAGGAAGGCUCUUUAGCCUGCAUGUAGCACACUAACUGAGGGGCCGUCACAGGUGUCAUUCUUGGCUGACACGAAAUUCCCGGUUGCGUUUGCUGUCGUCUGCAAACCGGAAGAAAACGUGUCAUUGAGGAAAAGCACCUUCUGCACAGGGUUUAGUGUUUUUCAAAAUAAAAGCAUUAAAUGGUUUUACCGAAGGCUCUUC
rnacentral:lncRNA from 1 species